UACGUAGGGUGCAAGCGUUAUCCGGAAUUAUUGGGCGUAAAGAGCUCGUAGGCGGUUUGUCACGUCUGCUGUGAAAACUGGAGGCUCAACCUCCAGCCUGCAGUGGAUACGGGCAGACUAGAGUGCGGUAGGGGAGACUGGAAUUCCUGGUGUAGCGGUGAAAUGCGCAGAUAUCAGGAGGAACACCGGUGGCGAAGGCGGGUCUCUGGGCCGUAACUGACGCUGAGGAGCGAAAGCAUGGGGAGCGAACAGG
rnacentral:rRNA from 1 species